rnacentral:rRNA from 1 species
UACAGAGGGGGCAAGCGUUGUUCGGAAUUACUGGGCGUAAAGGGCGCGUAGGCGGCCUUCUAAGUCGAACGUGAAAUCCCCGGGCUCAACCCGGGAACUGCGUCCGAUACUGGAAGGCUUGAAUCCGGGAGAGGGAUGCGGAGUUCCAGGUGUAGCGGUGAAAUGCGUAGAUAUCUGGAGGAACACCGGUGGCGAAGGCGGCAUCCUGGACCAACACUGACACUGAGGAGCGAAAGCCAGGGGAGCAAACGGG